GAUGAACGCUGGCGGCGUGCCUAAUACAUGCAAGUCGAGCGAAUGGAUUAAGAGCUUGCUCUUAUGAAGUUAGCGGCGGACGGGUGAGUAACACGUGGGUAACCUGCCCAUAAGACUGGGAUAACUCCGGGAAACCGGGGCUAAUACCGGAUAACAUUUUGAACCGCAUGGUUCGAAAUUGAAAGGCGGCUUCGGCUGUCACUUAUGGAUGGACCCGCGUCGCAUUAGCAAGUUGGUGAGGUAACGGCUCACCAAGGCAACGAUGCGUAGCCGACGUGAGUGGGUGAUCGGCCACCCUGGGACUGAGAAACGGCCCAGACUCCUACGGGAGGCAGCAGUAGGGAAUCUUCCGCAAUGGACGAAAGUCUGACGGAGCAACGCCGCGUGAGUGAUGAAGGCUUUCGGGUCGUAAAACUCUGUUGUUAGGGAAGAACAAGUGCUAGUUGAAUAAGCUGGCACCUUGACGGUACCUAACCAGAAAGCCACGGCUAACUACGUGCCAGCCGCCGCAGUAA
rnacentral:rRNA from 1 species